AGUGGAGGCAAAGUUUCAGUGCAUUCCGUUGAUGUAGACGGCGUGAAAACGGAAACAAGUAUGCUGGCUCACUGUGCUGCAUACAAUUACACACUGCGUCCUACGAUUGAGACAAGGAAACUUGGAAUGACUUUUCAUAGGUUUCCCAGAGACUAUGGGCUGAGGAGGAAUUGGAAGUUUGUCGGCUUAGACCUGGUGUCAUUCCAUCAGUGUUAAACUUCCCGGCUCAUCUUGGAAGAGUACGUGCCAGAAAGACCACGACCAAACAGCCUUGAGAUCUUAGGCAGCGUCUCCCUCAGACCAAAGAACUACAGACUCUUCACAACCUGCUCAAACUCUUGGUACAGGACCUCACCACACGGGUCAAGAAGGUUUCCUUCUCAUUUCUACUCUGAAGCUCACCUUCUCCUGCUCAAACUGCUGACAAAUGUUUCUGCUGCUCUAAAGUCUGGUCUCCCGAACUUCCUAAAAACUCUCAAUGGCUCUUCUGCUGCAGGUUGCUUUGUACAACUGUUCCAGAAAACCUCACUAAACCACAUGGAGGGGCCUCAAGAUAGUCGUCCAAAUGAAACCAUACAAAAACCAAACUAGUACAACCCAAACGCUAAAGUCUCCUGCAGCCUACCAGAGAACCUCUUUAAACAGAGAAUCAGGACAGGAACUCUUACCUUCUGGACAAUCAACAUCGGUUCUCAAACAAGAACACAGAAUGUGUCUGACCAGAAACCUCUAAAGACUCACUACAGCCAAGAUAAAGACACAACUCAACUGUACCAAAUCCACUAAUCACUGCACACAUUAGCACCAUGUGCUAACUGUGGCUAAAGAACCACAUUUACCAAGACAACUAUCCAGUACAAAGCCCUAAAACACACCAAGAAACACAUUAAAGACGAUUUUACUGCUGGAAGCUGCAAGCCAACGCCUAAAGAACAAACUAAAGCAAUGGAGCCAAACCCAGUUCACUGGUGAACAGAAGCAGAGGAAAUGUUUGACUGAGCCAAAUAAAGCA
ensembl:lncRNA